ensembl:lncRNA
GUUCCGGGGGCAGCUCCUUAAGUUCGGCCUCUGUUUUGUUCUAUCUGUCGCUCUGUCUAUCUGCCACUCUGUCUUUCAUUGUUUCUGUCACUCUGUUUUGUUCUAUCUGUCGCUCUGUCUAUCUGCCACUCUGUCUUUCAUUGUUUCUGUCACUCUGUUUUGUUCUAUCUGUCGCUCUGUCUAUCUGCCACUCUGUCUUUCAUUGUUUCUGUCACUCUGUUUUGUUCUAUCUGUCGCUCUGUCUAUCUGCCACUCUGUCUUUCAUUGUUUCUGUCACUCUGUUUUGUUCUAUCUGUCGCUCUGUCUAUCUGCCACUCUGUCUUUCAUUGUUUCUGUCACUCUGUUUUGUUCUAUCUGUCGCUCUGUCUAUCUGCCACUCUGUCUUUCAUUGUUUCUGUCACUCUGUUUUGUUCUAUCUGUCGCUCUGUCUAUCUGCCACUCUGUCUUUCAUUGUUUCUGUCACUCUGUUUUGUUCUAUCUGUCGCUCUGUCUAUCUGCCACUCUGUCUUUCAUUGUUUCUGUCACUCUGUUUUGUUCUAUCUGUCGCUCUGUCUAUCUGCCACUCUGUCUUUCAUUGUUUCUGUCACUCUGUUUUGUUCUAUCUACCGCUCUGUCUAUCUGCCGCUCUGUCUUUCAUUCUAUCUGUCACUCUAUUUUGUUCUAUCUGUCGCUCUAGCUAUCGGUCACUGUCUUUCGUUCUAUCUGUCACUAUAUUAUUUGUCACUUUCUUUGCCACCAUUUGUCACAAUUGCUCUCUCACUGUUUUGUUCUAUCUUUCGCCCUAUCUAUCUGUCACUCUGUCUUUCAUUCUAUCUAACACUAUAUUUUGUCUUUUAUCUAUUGCUCUGCAUAUCUGUUGGUCUGUAUUUAAAUCUGUCUCUCUCUUUUGUUCUAUCUAUCGCUCUUUUUCUGUCACUCUGUCUUUCGUUCUAUCUGUCAGUCUCUUUGGUUCUAUCUAUUGCUCUGUCUGUAUGUUGCUGUCUUUAAUGCAAUAUGUCUCUCUCUUUUUUCUGUCUUUCUGUCGGUCUAUAUUUCUGUCACUCUGUCUUCUGUUCCGUCACUCUAUUUGUCACUCUAUAUCUAUCACUUUAUCUGUCUACAGCUCCACCGCUCUGUCUUUAGUUCUGUCUAUCACUCUAUCUGUUGCUCUAUAUCUACAUAUCACUCUAUCUGCCUAUCACUCUAUCUGUCACUCUUUAUAUUGCUCUAUAUAUUUGUCUGUUGUUCUAUCUAUCUCUA